rnacentral:rRNA from 1 species
GUGGGGAAUAUUGGACAAUGGGGGGAACCCUGAUCCAGUCAUGCCGCGUGUGUGAAGAAGGCCUUUUGGUUGUAAAGCACUUUAAGCGAGGAGGAGGCUACCGAGAUUAAUACUCUUGGAUAGUGGACGUUACUCGCAGAAUAAGCACCGGCUAACUCUGUGCCAGCAGCCGCGGUAAUACAGAGGGUGCAAGCGUUAAUCGGAUUUACUGGGCGUAAAGCGCGCGUAGGUGGCCAAUUAAGUCAAAUGUGAAAUCCCCGAGCUUAACUUGGGAAUUGCAUUCGAUACUGGUUGGCUAGAGUAUGGGAGAGGAUGGUAGAAUUCCAGGUGUAGCGGUGAAAUGCGUAGAGAUCUGGAGGAAUACCGAUGGCGAAGGCAGCCAUCUGGCCUAAUACUGACACUGAGGUGCGAAAGCAUGGGGAGCAAACAGGAUUAGAAACCCGGGUAGUCC